ACUGAACGACCGCGGGCGAAGGGCGAAAGCCCUCGCAUGAGGAAAGUCCGGGCUCCACAGGGCAAGAAUAACGGGUAACGCCCGCCAGGGGUGACCCUCGGACAAGUGCAACAGAGAUAUACCGCCGCGCUCGCGCGGUAAGGGUGGAAAGGCGAGGUAAGAGCUCACCCGUGCUAUGGAGACAUAGUCACGCUGUAAACUCUAUUCGGAGCAACACCGUGGGAGAACAUAUGGCCUGCCCGGCCGUUCUCAGGAGGUGGCUUGAGCCUGCCGGCAACGGCAGGCCUAGAUAGAUGGUCGUUAAAACAGAACCCGGCUUACAGGUCUGCUA
rnacentral:RNase_P_RNA from 1 species